AUGCUCACUUCAGCAGCACACACACUAAAACUGGAACCAUCCAGAGAAGGUUAGCUUGGCUCCUGUGCAAGGAUGACUCUCAAACUCAUGAAGCAUUCCAUAUAUUU
ensembl:snRNA U6 U6 spliceosomal RNA